CUGCAGCCAGUUAAACCAACCAGCUCCUUCCCCGGUGGGCAGUAGAUGCAGUGACUGCAAGUAGCAGCCCCCUCAGUAGUAUAUGCAGCUGUCGCUUGGAAGGGUUAAACCAAGGGACCAUGGGGACACAC
ensembl:snoRNA SNORA70 Small nucleolar RNA SNORA70